rnacentral:misc_RNA from 1 species
GCCUUUGCCGAUCUUAAGGGAUUUGACUUCGGAGUAGACGAGGGUGGGGAAGGUGGAGAGGAGGUCGGGGUCGAGGCCGCGGCUGCGAGCGGGGGUUGCGGCGGCGGCUGAGAUGGUGGAGGCGGCGGCGUCGCCGCCGCACUGGCGGAUGUAGAUGGAGAAGAAGCCGAGGAAGAAAAAGGCGGCGAUGAGGACGACGAUGAUGAUCGCCAUGGAGGGGUUGAAGUUGGGGCUGAAGCCAUAGGGGUUUUUGGUGCCAUCGGGGGUGGUCGUUGUUGUAUUUUGGGAGGUGGGG